rnacentral:rRNA from 1 species
GACGAACGCUGGCGGCGUGCUUAACACAUGCAAGUCGAACGGAAAGGCCCUGCUUUUGUGGGGUGCUCGAGUGGCGAACGGGUGAGUAACACGUGAGUAACCUGCCCUUGACUUUGGGAUAACUUCAGGAAACUGGGGCUAAUACCGGAUAGGAGCUCCUGCUGCAUGGUGGGAGUUGGAAAGUUUCGGCGGUUGGGGAUGGACUCGCGGCUUAUCAGCUUGUUGGUGGGGUAGUGGCUUACCAAGGCUUUGACGGGUAGCCGGCCUGAGAGGGUGACCGGCCACCUUGGGACUGAGAUACGGCCCAGACUCCUACGGGAGGCAGCAGUGGGGAAUAUUGCACAAUGGGCGGAAGCCUGAUGCAGCAACGCCGCGUGCGGGAUGACGGCCUUCGGGUUGUAAACCGCUUUCGCCUGUGACGAAGCGUGAGUGACGGUAAUGGGUAAAGAAGCACCGGCUAACUACGUG